UACGUGAGGGGCAAGCGUUUGUCCGGAAUUACUGGGCGUAAAGGGCGCGUAGGCGGCCUUCUAAGUCGAACGUGAAAUCCCCGGGCUCAACCCGGGAACUGCGUCUGAUACUGGAUGGCUUGAAUCCGGGAGAGGGAUGCAGAAUUCCAGGUGUAGCGGUGAAAUGCGUAGAUAUCUGGAGGAAUACCGGUGGCGAAGGCGGCAUCCUGGACCGGCAUUGACGCUGAGGAGCGAAAGCUAGGGGAGCAAACGGGG
rnacentral:rRNA from 1 species